CACACCAUACUAAAAGAAAUAAUUGACCUUAGUGCAAAGCUGGAGUUUUCUUGUACUAAAAUUGUUAUGUCUAGUGGAAAUUAUAGCACGUUUAUAUACAUAUUAAUCGGUACGUUCCAAGAAUCCCAACAACGUCAAUUAUAUCGACCCGGGUCAUUUCCCGGCCGGGAAAAAACGCGCCACAGACCCGGGCGCCGACCGUCGGUGUCGCCGGGCUUUAUCUUAAAUAAUGUCACAGACCAAAGUUAGGAGAAUUUUAUUUGCAUUGCUAAAAUCGUUAUAAGACGGCUAAUAAUUUUAACAUAAACGUUGUAUAUUUAGCACAAGACAUAAAAAUUUGUAGCCCUUUGUAAUAAAAUUAGUUACAAGUAAAAUUUGUAUGUGAGCUAUAGCAUGUUUCUAUUGAAAGUAAUCACAUUUUUAUAAGAAUUCCAGCAAUGUUAAUUCUAUUCCAAGUCAGUUUAGUGAUAUUUCAUAAAAGAAAAACUGAAAGUCACUGUUAAGGACAGAUAAAUAAAUAAGCUCUAGACCUUGGCAUCAACCGCCAGGAAUCCGAUCACGAGUAAACGGGCCAUUUCGCGUCUCACGAUUUUAGCCGCGUCGAUUUACGAGCGUCCGUUUUAACGCGACGCCACCAAAAACGACGUUUUGUAGGAGAUGGGCCGAGGUGCAUUUGGGUAUACUCGGUCUUUUUAGUAUUUUGCGUUUGUCUCGAGUACCAGAGUAAAUUGUUCCAUUGAAACCACUUUAAUUGAGUCCGAAUUUGGUUUAAAGCUAUUAGCUCUCUAGGAAUGCGUCUCGCGUCGCAUCGACGUCGUACCGUACGUGCGUCGGCGACGAAGAGAGGUCGAUCGUAAUAUUCGAGAAUGCCGUCGGGUCGUCGACGUCGGCGUGCCGUUUCUACGUUCGGUUAAUAGUCGUGGCGAUUUUUAUCGCGCGCGUCCGUCGACGGCGGUCCGUCGCCGACCGCUCGAGAUUCGGCCUCUGUGGCGCAGUCGUACGGUCCGUCGUCGUCUGCGAGAAGUAUCCGUUUACUCGGUCUCGCGUGCAGCGUAUUGCAUUUUCUAGCAAUAGACUAGAUACGAUCGCAGAGUAGUUCCAUCACGUAGGGUGUCGUCUCGCCGUCGGCCCGGGACACGCCUCCGGCUACUCGACGCUCUGCUCGCCGGUACACGAUAGAAAUUAAAAAUUAUCAACACGAUAUUUUAUGAGGGCAUUACGAUUGAUUUUUAAUACCCUAUGCAAUGGUUGUAUAGAUGUAGUGCAGUAUAAUUAUUAAAUGCAGGCAGCAUUCACAUAACAAACUUAACCCACAGAAGAAGUCGCCUCGGGCAACGGCAGCGGAAGCGCGAUCCGGGAGACGGACACGAAGAACGACCGUGGAUCGCCGCUCCGGAGACGGGUCGGCGAGUGCCGCUCUCCGACGUAAGACGAUCGUCGAGAAUAUCUCACGGGUCGGAGUCGCCCGACGGGAGUCGGAAACAUCAUUUCGGUGCGGACCGGCGACUCGACGGACCCCGGCCGAGGACGCCGCUCGAAACGCGGGAGUCGCGGUUGCGGACGAGAGCGCCGACACGAGUCCGAGACGGAUCGUACGGUCGGCACGUCGGAGCGGUUUGGACGAAGACAUUCGGGAACCGAAGACGAAGACGCCUCGCCACGAAGACGCCGGUCGACGCGCGAGGAAGAUACUCCGGAACACGGGAAGAAUACCACAUUCGCGAAUGCGGGAAGAUACUCGUCAACUUAGAAGAGGACGCGCAUCACUAUUGUAUAGCGAUGGUUUUAAAGACGGCGUAAUGUGUAAAAUGAAUGCACGUGUUGUUUGUAACGAUUGUUAUAACGUUUGUAGUAUUGUUUUUAGAGACCGACUCCGCGAAGACGGAGGAAGUCGAUACGUGUCGAGAAUGAAUUUAUUGAAGAUGAUCAUCGUAGACACGUUGCAAAUAGAUCGUAAAAAGUCACGUGUGGAGGGACAAACUCCGCAAAUAACGGCAGCGUAAAUACGAGACGACGCGGCGGCGGGGACGCGCGCCUCUCGAAAGUAAAAGAACGGGGGAGAUCGGACCGACAUAGACGGUGUUGUUGAGGUAAUUGAUAAGAAUGGAGAAAUGAUGACUAUUUGGUGUGGUUUUUUAGGACAGAGAGUAGUUAUAUAUUAGUAAAGAUAUAAAGUAAAAUGGGAUAAGGACGGCGGUGGGGGACAAGGAACGACACACUCCGUAGGGCAUUAAAGGAAUUGACGUGCGAGUACCGAGUCGGCGUAAUUGUGAAAAAGAGAUGCGAGGGGGAUUUUGAAGAGAAGAAGUAGUCACGCGGUAGAGGAAUUGCGGGGAAAUCGGCGAAAGCGACGAUCGGUUACGGGAGAGGAUUUAACGAAUAACAUUUUGAUGCGGGACGGGAGACGACGAAUUUAGGGAAUGCCGGUUUAGGAGAGGGUCGUACGUAAAGCGGCGGGUGCGGGCGUCUGCGGAUACGGACGACGGAGAAUAGACGGGAAUGUGCAUCGAGACGAGGCGGUGCAGAAACGAAAGUGUCGGAGGUACCGCAGGGAAGUAUACCCGCGAGAUGUGUAAAGAAUGGUUUGGAAGUAGAGUUAGGUGAGAGUCAUGUGUUUGAAAUGGUGGGAAGGUUUGAUAGGUGUAUUGGUUUUACGUAAUUGUGGCAGUCGGUUUGAGAGCGGGCAGCUGUGGAAUGCGCGCGGGUAUCUAUUUUGAGACCGCGACAUCUACCGGUAAGGAAAUAUGCGAUGCAGCAGUAAUAUAUUUUUGGUUAAUAGUAGUUUCAUUUAUUUGGCAUGAAUUUAUACUCGUUCACGUGUACUCCGUGUUGCUCCACUCGUGUUAAGGCGUUUGUAUAAUAAAAAAAUUUGGUGGACGAGUAGGAUAAGUGGAAGGGGAAGGAAUACGAGCACAAUGUUGAAUUUGUAAGCCCUCCCUUUUUUUGUUUUUUCCCUCUGCCUCCCUGUCCUCCUCGUUUCUUUGUUCGUCGAGUGGUUUCUUGUCCCUCCGUUUCAUUGUGACUCCCUUCGUCUUUGUCCCCCCUACCUGCUUCUGUCCCUCCUCCUCUUCUUCCUGUUUCCUUCUUUUACUCCUGCUCUUUGUCCCCCCCCCUCCUCUUCGCCUUAUGUCUUCCUCGUUUCCUUGUUUAUUCUUUUGCUUGUUCUCCCUCUGUUCCUCCUCCUCCUCCUCCUCUGUUUGAUUGUGAUUCCCUUCUUGUUUCUCACCUUCCCAUUCCUCUUGAUCCUGUUGUUAUUCCCGUUUGUUUGUUUUUUGUUGUUGUUGCUUUCUUUCCCUUUGUUGCCCUUUGUUGGUCGUUUUUGUGUCCCUGUAUACGUGGUUGUAUUACUGCUGCUGUGUGUAUGUUGGAUUGUAUUUAUUUGUGUUGUUAUAAAUAUGUUGUGAGUGUGAAGUAGAUAUAUUGUGUUGAUAUUUGACUAAAUUUUGUUGUUAAGAAGAGGAGUUAUGUUUAGAUUUGGAAAGUAAUUGUCAUCGAGGUCGAGAAUGCACGUAUCGUCUUUAGUUUGAAUACGCAGUCGCGACGUGCACGCGUGUAGAAAUGCGUCGGGCGAAUCGUCGCGUUGCGUUUGGGUAGUUAUAUAUCGGGAAAUAGUGGAAGAGUGUAAGUUAAUGUUGUGGACUUGUGAAAUUGAUGAGCAUGAAAUGUUUUAUUGUGUAGUAGUUAUGGAUUUUAAUUUGAAGGGAGUUCCGCGUCGACUCGGAAUUUGGCGCGUGGUACGAAUCGAUCGGAACGGCCGCAAUAAAUCGCGGGAGUCGCGGAGUUAUUUUUUUUUCGUCGUAGAAUUAUUUGUGGAGUCGUAAAAAAAUGUUUUCUUGUCGAUGAAAGUUAAUUAUUUGUGGAGUUUGAAUCUAUUUUGUUUUGUGGACUUGGAAAAUGUGUUGCAUAUAUGUGGACUUUGAAUAAUUGAGAUAUUUUGUGGACUUUGUAUAAUGUUCAUAUUUGUGGACUUGAAAUUGUUAACUUUUGUGGACUUUGAAUAAUUGAUAAUGUGUGUCGACUUUGAAUUUGUUUUGCCUUUUGUGGACUGGGUAUAUUUUUUGCGCGUGCGCGGACUGGGAAGUUCAUUCGUCGGGUCCGAGGACCGGUAAUAAUUAUCGACGCACGCGGACCGAGAAUAACGUAUUACGCUCGUGGAAUUUGACUAAUUUCUUAUCGCGUGUGGACUUUGAAUAAUUUAUGAUGUUUGUGGACUUUGAAUAGUUUUGAUCCUUUGUGGACUUCGAAUAAUGUAUAAUGUUUGUGGAGUUUGAAUACUUUUUUAUCCUGUGUGGACUUUGAAUAUUUAUCAUCCUUUGAAAAUUUCUCAUCGUUUGUGUACGUAGAAUAAUGUUCAAUUUAUGUGGACUUGGAAUAAUUACUGUAAUGAUGUUUGUGGACUUUGAAUAUUUGUUAUCCUUUGUGGACUUAGUAUUAUUUUAUCCUCUGUGGACUUAGAAUAAUUUUCAAUCUCUGUGGACUUGGUAUUAUUUUAUUGUUUGUGGACAUAGAAUAAUUUUGAAUGUGGACUCAGUCUCUUGUUCAUGUUGUGUGGACUUUGAGUAAUUUUUAUCCUGUGUGGACCUAGAAUAAUGUUCAAUGUAUGUGGACUUUGAAUAAUUGAUGAUGUUUGUGGACUUAGCAUUAUUUUACCCUUUGUGUAUUUUGAAUAAUGUUCAAUGUAUGUGGACUUAGUAUGUUUUUCAUGUUUGUGGACUUAGUAUUAUUUUAUCCGUUGUGGAGUUUGAAUAUUUGUUGUCCUUUGUGGACAUAGAAAUUUUUUUUUCGUUUGUGGCUUAGUAUUAUUUUAUUAUGUUUGUGGACUUGGAAUAAUUUAUAAUGUUUGUGGACUUAUAAUAUUUUUGUAUCAUGUGUGGACUUAGAUUAGUUUUCAAUGUAUGUGUACUUUGAAUAAUUUAUGAUGUAUGUGGACUUAGUAUGUGUUUAUGUUGUGUGGACUUAGAAUAAUUGUUAU